GUCUCCCUAGUCCCGCUAGUUCGGUCGCUGGGGGCCUGGUUAGCGCUCCCCAGGCCGUCUCGCUGGCUCAUGAGAACCAUCAGACUCGGCUACGCGAUUCAAUUCACCCGGCGCCCUCCCAAGUUCAGGGGCAUUCGGUUCACCUCUGUGCCAGACAAGGAUGCUCCUGUCUUGCGUGCAGAGAUCGCGGUCCUGCUAGCGAAGGACGCGAUACAGCCGGUCCCUCCAGCCGAGAUGAGGUCGGGUUUCUACAGCCCAUACUUCAUUGUACCCAAGAAAGGCGGUGGGUUACGACCGAUCCUGGACCUGCGCGUACUGAACCGGACCCUUCACAAGCUCCCGUUCAGGAUGUUGACGCAGAAACGCAUCUUUCAAUGCGUCCGUCCUUUCGAUUGGUUCGCAGUGGUCGACCUCAAGGACGCGUACUUUCAUGUCUCGAUUCUCCCUCGACACAGACCGUUUCUCCGCUUUGCGUUCGAAGGGCGAGCAUAUCAGUACAAGGUCCUCCCCGUCGGGCUAUCCCUGUCGCCUCGUGUCUUCACCAAGGUCGUGGAGGCAGCCCUCAUUCCAUUGAGGGAAGCAGGCAUUCGCGUUCUCAACUACCUCGAAGACUGGCUCAUACUGGCCCAGUCCCGAGCACAGUUGUGCGAACACAGGGAUAUGGUGCUCAGUCACCUCAGCCGAUUGGGGCUUCGGGUCAACUGGGAAAAGAGCAAACUCUCUCCGGUGCAGAGGAUCUCUUUUCUCGGCAUGGAGCUGGACUCGGUCAACCUCUCAGCACGUCUCUCAGUAGAGCGCGCGCAGUCGAUGCUGAACUGCCUGGGGUCCUUCCAGUGCAAGACGGCGGUUCCACUGAAACAAUUUCAGAGGCUCCUGGGGCAUAUGGCAUCCGCAGCCGCUGUCACGCCGCUCGGGUUGCUUCAUAUGAGACCGCUUCAGCGUUGGCUUCACGACCGGGUCCCGAGAUGGGCAUGGCGACACGGCACUUACCGGGUUUCUGUUACCCCGUUCUGCCGUCAGACCCUCAGCCCAUGGACAGAUCUUGCCUUUCUUCGGACAGGAGUAUCCCUUGGGCAAGUAUCCAGGCAUGUUGUUGUGUCAACAGAUGCCUCCGCCAGGGGCUGGGGUGCCAUGUGCAGUGGGAAUGCAGCUGCGGGGCUCUGGUCGGGGCCCCGACUACAGUGGCAUAUCAACUGCCUCGAGUUGCAAGCAGUAUGGCUGGCUCUGCGCCGCUUCAGAUCGCUGCUACACGACAAGCACGUACUGGUCCGUACGGACAACACUGCGACCGUUGCGUACAUCAACCACCAGGGCGGUCUACGCUCCCGUCGCAUGUCGCAACUCGCCCGCCAUCUCCUCCUCUGGAGUCAGAAGCAUCUGAGGUCGCUUCGCGCCGUUCACAUCCCAGGCGAGCUCAAUCGUGCAGCCGACGAGCUCUCACGUCAGCCCGCCCUUCCGGGAGAAUGGCGACUCCACCCCGAG
rnacentral:lncRNA from 1 species